ACUACUAUUAUUUAAAAUCUGUUAAUUAUUUUUAUUUUAAAAUUACAAAUUACCCUAUUACUCUCUUAUUGAAUAUUCUAAUAAAGUACUAUACUACCGUUAUUUAACAACUGUCAAAGCUUUAAAAUCGGGCAAUUUCUUUUAAUUUUCAAAUUAAUAUUAUUUAAAAUCGGGCAAUUUCUUUUAAUUUUAAAAUUUCAAACUACACCAAUAUUUUGACUUAUCUUAUGAUUCAAAACACUGUAUUAGUAAUGUGAAGUACAUGAUUGUUUUUUCCAUUACAAAUAUACAAUUUCACAUAUGAAUAAGUCUCGCAAAGCUACCUUUUGUGGCCUAUGUUCGGAAGGAAAUGGACAAUUAGAGGCUAAGAAGAGAAUCUACACAUGGUUUAUAAAAUUACAGCAAGACAUUGAUAGUUUUUUUUUUUUUUAUACAAAUCAACAUUGAUAGAAGUAUAUAAAUUACAAAUAAAAUACAACAUACCAAAACUGGUUGAUAAAAGCUAUGAAAUCUUAAGUAUUUAAGAGCCAUCAAGUUUUACUUCUCUAAACAAAUCCUAUGGCAAAUAAAUUAGAAAUCUUGUAGCUCAAGCGGUGAAGAAUAAUAGUAGACCCAAAUUUGUUUGGCAAGAAGAUGCUAUGUUUCUUCACUUAGAAAGGGGUCAAGUCAUGACUUAUAGCAAAUGGAAGUGGAAUGAGAUUAAGAUAAGAGACAAAAAAAGUAUUACAAACAAAAUAGUACAAUCAUAAAAAAAAACAAAGAAACUACGUAAAAAUUGAGAAAGAAAAUAAUUAGAAAAAAAUAAAGCAAUCUAUAGCAUGGAUGAAUGAAAGCAAACCCACUAAUGAAAUUAUGCUCCUUUGAGAACAUAUGCAUUAGGGGUGGGAAUAAGUCAGACCGACCUACAGGGGCCUACGACCUGACCUACAUAAAACUUGACCUGAUCUAUUUAAUUAAAAUGUUAGACUCAGAUUUUUUUAAAAGUCUAUUAAAUUAAAUAGACCAGACUUAAGCUUAUUAAAAAGCUUUAUAAGCCUGAUAGGCCAACCUAUAUAUAUAUAUAUAUAUAUAUAUAUAUAUAUAUAUAUAUAUAUAUUAUUUUUUGGGUACCAAUUUAUACUUAUAUUAUUUUUUGGGUACAAUUAAUUUUUUUUUUGAAACUAGCUACUUCAUGACUUUCAUUCCUAUAAUCAAGUAAGAUUUUAACUACAAUUUAGGUGUGAAUCAUGUGUCUCUUCAUAUUCCUCAUUAAUGUUAUCAUUACUCUCCAUUGUACUAACCAUUUCCACCAAUAUAAAUUGUCAAUGUAAGUGGUUGUUGCACUACUAACCAAGUAAAAUGAUCAAAAGGACCAUCAAAUACCCGUGGAUAAUAAUAUUAUUUAUGAUGGAGAAAACAGGUCAAUCUAUAAUAGGGCAAUAGGCCGCAAAAAUAAAUUUCCCAAAAACUUACAUGACCCUGUAAGGAGUACUAAUAAAAUAGAAUACAAAAUAGAAGUUAAGUAAAAUCACACAUGAAACAUAAUUUUUUUAACGAGGAAAAUCCUCAAUGAAAGGGAAAAAAUCAUGGAUCAUCCAUGAUGCAAUCCUCCCUAGGAAGGGACCAAUCACUAGAACCAUAAGCAAGAGGCUCCAAGAAGAUUGGGCUAGAGCUGCUGAAGAAGGCCCUAAGGUUCUCAUGAACCUUAGGGUAGAUUUCUGAGCCCAUGGGCCAAGGUUGGGUCCAAUUAUCUUUGUACAUAUUAGACUAGGAUGUCAAUAUAUUUGGUCCUUGUAUUUAGGGUUCCAUAUUGUAGGUAGGGUACCCUAGAAAUAUAGGAUUUUUUAGCCCUUGUAUUUUUGGGCACCUAGACUAGUUUUUGUAUUAGGGGUAGUUUUGUAAUUUCACAUGCACUAAGUGGAUAUUUGAUGUGUGUGGUUGGAAAUAAAUUUAAUUGAAUUGGUAGAAGCCCAAUCAAAUUAAAUUUUAGAGGGGGAGGUGAGCAUUUGCUUACUACACCCCAUUGCCACAUCAUAUAGUCACACUUUGUGCAUGUCCUUCAUGCUUUUCAUGCCUCAUGACACCUAAGCACACUUAGUGGAGAAUCUUG
rnacentral:lncRNA from 1 species